rnacentral:rRNA from 1 species
GAUGAACGCUAGCUACAGGCUUAACACAUGCAAGUCGAGGGGAAACGACAUCGAAAGCUUGCUUUUGAUGGGCGUCGACCGGCGCACGGGUGAGUAACGCGUAUCCAACCUGCCCACCACUUGGGGAUAACCUUGCGAAAGUAAGACUAAUACCCAAUGGCGUCUCUAGAAGACAUCUGAAGGAGAUUAAAGAUUUAUCGGUGAUGGAUGGGGAUGCGUCUGAUUAGCUUGUUGGCGGGGUAACGGCCCACCAAGGCGACGAUCAGUAGGGGGUCUGAGAGGAAGGUCCCCCACAUUGGAACUGGGACACGGUCCAAACUCCUACGGGAGGCAGCAGUGAGGAAUAUUGGUCAAUGGACGCGAGUCUGAACCAGCCAAGUAGCGUGCAGGAAGACGGCCCUAUGGGUUGUAAACUGCUUUUAUAAGGGAAUAAAGUGAGUCUCGUGAGACUUUUUGCAUGUACCUUAUGAAUAAGGACCGGAUAAUUCCGUGCCAGCCGCCGCUGUAA